rnacentral:rRNA from 1 species
UACGGAGGGUGCAAGCGUUAUCCGGAUUCACUGGGUUUAAAGGGUGUGUAGGCGGAUCUUUAAGUCAGUGGUGAAAUCUCCGGGCUCAACCCGGAAACUGCCAUUGAUACUAUUAGUCUUGAAUUCUGUUGAGGUGGGCGGAAUACAUCAUGUAGCGGUGAAAUGCUUAGAUAUGAUGUAGAACACCGAUUGCGAAGGCAGCUCACUAAGCAGACAUUGACGCUGAGGCACGAAAGCGUGGGGAUCAAACAGG